CCGGCUCCGGUCCGCAUGGUCCCGGAGGAAGUACCUGAAGUGCAGAAGCAGAUCCGAGUUCUUCACCGAGCCUCCGCUGCUCUGGAGAAAAUGUCUCAAAGGUCGAGGAGUUUCUGACAGACUGGAGUGAAGCUCCGCCCUCCUCAGGUUUCCUUGCAAAUAAAUCCCAAAACUGCAAUAUUGAGAGUGAUCCCUGAAGAUUGUAGACACUCAAUAAAUACUUGCUGAUAUUCUUUUGGCUACAGCAGGGACAACAAAGUUAUGAAAUGAAAACAAUUACAUAUGGAGUGAAAUUACAGAAAAAAAAUGGAAUACACCAAUAAAUCAUUUCACAGGCCAAUGAAAUAUGUUUAUGUUAAAACAUAAUGUAAGCUGUUGUGAUUGCAUCCAUUCUCACUCAUUUUUACUCACAUUUGAUCUUUUUUUUAAUAACAAAUAUCUGUUUUAUUUUUUCUGCUUGUGUCUGU